CGCGUAGGCGGUUUUUUUAAGUCAGAUGUGUAAUCCCCGAGCUUAACUUGGGAACUGCAUCUGAGACUGGAAGGCUAGAGUACUGGAGAGGGUGGUGGAAUUCCUCGUGUAGCGGUGAAAUGCGUAGAGAUGAGGAGGAACACCAGUGGCGAAGGCGGCCACCUGGACAGUAACUGACGCUGAGGCGCGAAAGUGUGGAUAGCAAACAGGAUUAGAUACCCUGGUAGUCCACGCUGUAAAUGAUGAACACUUGGUGUGGAGGGAGUUGACCCCUUCCGUGCCGGAGCUAACGCGUUAAGUGUUCCGCCUGGGGAGUACGGUCGCAAGGCUGAA
rnacentral:rRNA from 1 species